UACUCUACUAUAUUGUUCGCCAGAGUACUACAAGCGCUAGCUUAAAACCCAAAGGACUUGGCGGUAUCCCACACCCACCUAGAGGAGCCUGUUCUAUAACCGAUAAUCCCCGUUCAACCUCACCACUUCUUGCCAUUACCGUCUAUAUACCGCCGUCGUCAGCCCACCCUGUGAAGGACCAAAAGUAAGCAAAAAGAAUAAAACUCCAAAACGUCAGGUCGAGGUGUAGCAAAUGAAGUGGGAAGAAAUGGGCUACAUUUUUUCCCAAAAAUAUACGAAUGAUAAACUGAAAACAUACCUAAAGGUGGAUUUAGCAGUAAGAGAAGAUCAGAAUACUUCUCUGAAAUCGGCUCUGGGAUAAGCACACACCGCCCGUCACUCUCCUCAAAAAUAACUCACCAUUUCCAUAAAUACAUUCCUUCAACAAGAGGAGGCAAGUCGUAACAUGGUAAGUGUACUGGAAAGUGCACUUGGAAUC
rnacentral:rRNA from 1 species